UACAGAGGUCUCAAGCGUUGUCCGGAUUUAUUGGGUUUAAAGGGUGCGUAGGUGGUCUAUUAAGUCAGUGCUGAAAUAUCCCGGCUUAACCGGGAGGGUGGCAUUGAUACUGAUGGACUUGAGUGGAGUUGAGGUAGGCGGAAUUGACGGUGUAGCGGUGAAAUGCUUAGAUAUCGUCAAGAACACCGAUAGCGAAGGCAGCUUACUAAGCUCUAACUGACACUGAUGCACGAAAGUGUGGGGAUCAAACAGG
rnacentral:rRNA from 1 species